rnacentral:rRNA from 1 species
GACAGAGGUGCCGAGCGUUAGGCGGAAUAACUGGGCUUAAAGCGUGUGUAGGCGGACCGUUAAGUACCUUGUGAAAUCCCCCGGCUCAACCGGGGAAGUGGCGUGGAUACGACCGGGCUGGAGGGGGGUAGGGGGAGCCGGAACUUCCGGUGGAGCGGUGAAAUGCGUUGAGAUCGGAAGGAACGCCCGUGGCGAAAGCGGGCUCCUGGACCCCACCUGACGCUGAGACGCGAAAGCCAGGGGAGCGAACGGG